CACACUACAAGAAAUUGGCUAAUUACCGGCGGCUUAAUACCGAAGGCCUUGAGGCCGUCUGUAAAAGAGAGGUGCCGACGGCCAUAAAGAGAAGUACCGACGGGCUUAGUGAAAUUAAACUACCGAAGGUCAGGAAGACGAUAGCGAGGGAUGUGUGUCCUUCGGUAAUAGGCUAGACCCAUUAAACCAAGUGAUUCGUUCUAUUCGUCGAGGUCGUCCCCAAUUUCCUGAAACUGUGAAAACCCCCCUGCCCUACCUCUCUCGUCUACGUCUGCCAUCGUUUUACUUCGUGCUUCCAUUCUCUCGGCUACCUCUCUCGUGGCUUCGUUUUCGUUUGUGCUUCCAUUAUCUCGUCUACCUUUGUCGUUUACCUCUGUCUAUCCGGUGGCAUUGUGCGCCUCUCCGUUUUGUUCGGUCUCAUCAAGGUUCUUGGUGCCGUUGUGGGUGGGGUAGCCACAGGGGUGGUGUUUCGUCAUCAUUACGCUUUGGCGCCAUAGGAGUGGUGGUUCGUGGCUGUGCGCGUGAGGCUUGUGUUCAGAGUUGGCGAUGUGCAGGGGCUUCCCUCGAAUUGGGUGUUCUGUAGUGCGAGGUAAGUUAUGUGUUUGCUUGAUGGGUAUUUAAUCAUUUGAUAUCAGUUUGAUGGCUUGCUGCCCUUUUUUCACAUCAGAAGACGACACCUGGGAGGAGUCGAAGCAAUAAAAGAAAAUGAUAGGGAGAUUGGAACACGGGACAGUAAAGGAAAAGAGAAGUGCCUAUUAGCGCACCAGAUGAAAAAUCCCUUUGCCUUUACUCUAACAAGUUUUGGGGUUUCAAUUAGGAGCACAUAACGUUUGGAAGCUUCAAACGUAGUGGGUUAAAGUUAGUUGCAAAAGUGUCAUUGUUUAAGGGCUACACUCAAGUGUCGAAGACUUCAUCAUUUCCAGGAACACUUUUGGGUUUUGGGUGGACUUAUGAUGUUAUUGACAUAAUGGUUGCAGUAAGAAUACUAGAAAAAGCAAAUGUGGCAUUCUACCAAAC
rnacentral:sRNA from 1 species